rnacentral:tRNA from 1 species
GGGGAUUUAGCUCAGUGGCAUAAGCACCUGCCUUGCAAGCAGGCAGUCGGGCGUUCGAUCCCUG